AUUGAACGCUGGCGGCAGGCCUAACACAUGCAAGUCGGGCGGUAGCACAGGAGAGCUUGCUCUCCGGGUGACGAGCGGCGGACGGGUGAGUAAUGUCUGGGAAACUGCCUGAUGGAGGGGGAUAACUACUGGAAACGGUAGCUAAUACCGCAUAACGUCGCAAGACCAAAGAGGGGGACCUUCGGGCCUCUUGCCAUCGGAUGUGCCCAGAUGGGAUUAGCUAGUAGGUGAGGUAAAGGCUCACCUAGGCGACGAUCCCUAGCUGGUCUGAGAGGAUGACCAGCCACACUGGAACUGAGACACGGUCCAGACUCCUACGGGAGGCAGCAGUGGGGAAUAUUGCACAAUGGGCGCAAGCCUGAUGCAGCCAUGCCGCGUGUAUGAAGAAGGCCUUCGGGUUGUAAAGUACUUUCAGCGGGGAGGAAGGUGUUGUGGUUAAUAACCGCAGCAAUUGACGUUACCCGCAGAAGAAGCACCGGCUAACUCCGUGCCAGCAGCCGCGGUAA
rnacentral:rRNA from 1 species